GAUGAACGCUGGCGGCGUGCCUAAUACAUGCAAGUCGAGCGAACAGACGAGGAGCUUGCUCCUCUGACGUUAGCGGCGGACGGGUGAGUGACACGUGGAUAACCUACCUAUAAGACUGGGAUAACUUCGGGAAACCGGAGCUAAUACCGGAUAAUAUAUUGAACCGCAUGGUUCAAUAGUGAAAGACGGUUUUGCUGUCACUUAUAGAUGGAUCCGCGCCGCAUUAGCUAGUUGGUAAGGUAACGGCUUACCAAGGCAACGAUGCGUAGCCGACCUGAGAGGGUAAUCGGCCACACUGGAACUGAGACACGGUCCAGACUCCUACGGGAGGCAGCAGUAGGGAAUCUUCCGCAAUGGGCGAAAGCUUGACGGAGCAACGCCGCGUGAGUGAUGAAGGUCUUCGGAUCGUAAAACUCUGUUAUUAGGGAAGAACAAAUGUGUAAGUAACUAUGCACGUCUUGACGGUACCUAAUCAGAAAGCCACGGCUAACUACGUG
rnacentral:rRNA from 1 species